rnacentral:rRNA from 1 species
AUACCGGAUAGAGCAUCGAUCGCUGGAAUGCAUGAUGCUCGAAAACUGAGGCGCCAAAGGAUAGGUCUGCGGCCGAUUAGGUUGUUGUUGAUGUAACGGAUCAACAAGCCUCCGAUCGGUAUGGGUUGUGAGAGCAAUAGCCCAGAGAUGGGUUCUGAGAGAAGAACCCAGGUCCUACGGGACGCAUCAGGCGCGAAAACUUUACAAUGUGCGAAAGCACGAUAAGGGAACUCUGAGUGCCUCCUAAGGAGGCUGUUCAGGUGUCUAAAAAGCAUCUGAAGGAAGGGCUGGGUAAGACCGGUGCCAGCCGCCGCGGUAACACCGGCAGCCCAAGUGGUGGCCACUUUUACUGGGUCUAAAGCGUUCGUAGCCGGCCAGGUAAGUUCCUUGGGAAAUUUGACCGCUUAACGGUCAAGCUUUCAGGGAAUACUGCGUGGCUUGAGACCGGGAGAGGUCAGAGGUACCUCAAGGGUAGGGGUGAAAUCCGUUAAUCCUUGGGGGACCACCAGUAGCGAAGGCGUCUGACCAGAGCGGAUCCGACGGUCAGGAACGAAGGCUAGGGUAGCGAACCGGAUUAGAUACCCGGGUAGUCCUAGCAGUAAACGAUGCGGGCUAG